rnacentral:tRNA from 1 species
GGAUUGUGGCUUAGCGGUAGAGUGCUUGCCUAGCACAUGUGAGGCCCUGGGUUCAAUCCUCAGCACCA